ACGAAUUUGAAUGAAGAGCCCUGCGCUUUCGGCGCCAUUUUCGAGUGAUGCCCGAUCGCAUCGCUGCCGCGGGGGAGCCGGAGCUGGCGGGGCCGCUGGGCUGGGCGCAGACCGCCGCCAAAAAUACCCGCGGCCCGAGGAGGCGCCUGCACAGGCGGUUUUGACCUUUCAAUAGAGAGCUGAUUCUGGAGAACAACUUACUUCUGUGAUUGAAAAAUUCUCUCUGGGAAGCUGAUGGAGCAUGAGAAUGGGGAAGGAGCCACUAAGUCCAGGCUACAAUUGAUUGCUGGGGACAGCAAAGGAGAAAAGAGGAACAGGAGUGAGGUUAAAGAUUGAAAAUCCAGGGAAACAGCGCAGAGAAUCCCAGAGAGCACCCACUGCUUCUCAAAGGCAUCCAAGGAAACAAUGGACACUGCCCAGAGGAACUCCGCCUGGAGAUGUGAGCAGACAAGGGACAAUAAAAAGGCCCCACAAUAGCAGAGCACCCCCCCACACACACCCCAUCCAGCUUCCUCCUCUUGGAGUGAUAGAUGGCCAUCUUGGCUAGUGUCCAGAAGAUGUUGACAAGGAGGUCCCAUGACUUUGUGGAGCCAUGGAUUAAGUGUACAAAAGUCAGGAGGUGUGGGGAAAAGGGGCAGCCAGAACCUCAGGAGGAGGUUCUGGAUGCUCCACAAGAGGGGCUGCAACCUGAUGCACUCUACAUAGAUCUCAAGGGUUGCUGUAAAAGGAACCUGUAUCAGAAGAGUUUGUGAACCAUGCCAGUACAUGCCUGUGCUCACAACUCCAUGUAGGAGUUGCCAAUUAAUAUCUCUGGUGGGCCAUGGAACUACAAUGGAGUACAGACAGGCCCUCCAGGGUUCUUCACCCUCCGCAGGUGACAAUAGGUUCCUUCACUUGGUGUUGGAUGGGACGCAAGGGUGAGGAAGUGAAUAGUAUGAAGCAUGAGCGCUUACAGAUAUUCUCUUGGCACAGCUUGGAGGCAGACCAGCUGGAUGUUAUUCAGCUGACUUAGGUGGCAUGUUGGGGGCAGCCGGGGAGGCUCGUAGAGCAGGGGCCCGAUAAUGAGUUCUGGAGGGCCAGAGAUGAGGGAGUGGACACAAAGCACACUCAUGCAGGACCCACUCAAGGAAAGUCAGAAUCAGGAGCCAAGGCUGCCCUCACUUCCCAGAGCACACAACAGUGGAGAUGCAGGGUGGGCAGCCCCAUGCACUGGCCGAGCACCACAGGGUCCACCCAAUGUCUCAGAUCAAUUCUGGUGGCACCAGCCAGGGCUAUCCUCCAGAACACCAAGGGUGACACCACCACCUGAACAUAGAGAUGGGAGCUGUUUGUAGCAGGAGUUCUGUGGCACACUGUGGAACUUUUAGUGCAUGGUGGCCAGUUAUUGUGUAGCAGGCUAGUGUGCUGUAGAUUUACAUCCCAUCUUACUGUGCACGGCCAAUGUAGACAUGCCCUUGCUCCCUGUGUGAUUCAUGUCCUGGGUGUGGAACACAGCAUGGCAGUUACCUGACUUAGAGGUAUAGGGAAGGCCCUGCAUUAACUUGAUUAGCUGUUUGCUAAUUUGAGGAGUCCCCAGUGAAAAUGCUGAUCAAAACCCCCACACAACAAUUGAAUGGGUCUUUUGGUCCCGUCCCACGCUCCAGCUUAUAUCCUAUGUUGCCAUUUACUCAUUCUUUAUUAUGUAGUUAUCACAUAAAACUUUGUAAGAUCUGUGUUUUGCAUAAAUUAGUUAAAUAUAUUGUAGAACAAUAUGCCAAAGAGAAGCUCAAACAUGAACAUUGCCUUUAUGUUGUAAAAAGUUUUACACUGUGUGGCAGGUGUUCUUCAUACCGUAAUGUUCUACAAAUAGAACUGCAUGACAAAUGGAAUGGGCAAGUUAAACUGAAAUGUUACUAUUUAUUUCUUUUAUGUAUAACAUUAUUGUAACAAUGUUUUUAAAAGUGCAAGAUGAAUUCCAUACAUGUGUCCAGGGCUUUUCAGACUGCUGUGUAUAAUUUCAUGGGAACCAAGUGUUUCCUCUUUUUAUACUCCCUUAUAAUGGCUGCACUAUAUCUUUGAGUUUUUACAAUACUUUCCUCACUGCCAGAUAGUUUGGGGUUCAAAAAUAAAAAUCACAAAACCUCUGUUAAA